rnacentral:rRNA from 1 species
UAGGGAAUAUUGCGCAAUGGGGGAAACCCUGACGCAGCGACGCCGCGUGAGUGAUGAAGGCCUUCGGGUUGUAAAGCUCUGUUGUACAUGAAAAAGAAAGUGAUUGUAAUGUACGAGAAAGGACCGGCUAACUUCGUGCCAGCAGCCGCGGUAAGACGAGGGGUCCUAGCGUUGCUCGGAAUCAUUGGGCGUAAAGCGGGUGUAGGCGGCUUCAUAAGUCAGUUGUGAAAGCCCCAAGUUCAACUUGGGAAGUGCUUCUGAUACUGUGAGGCUUGAGUAUGAGAUAGGGCAGUAGAAUUUCUGGUGUAGUGGUGAAAUACGUAGAUAUCAGAAGGAAUACCGGUGGCGAAGGCGGCUGCCUGGCUCAAUACUGACGCUGAGACCCGAAAGCGUGGGGAUCAAACAG